rnacentral:rRNA from 1 species
GAUGAACGCUGGCGGCGUGCUUAACACAUGCAAGUCGAACGAUGAAAGCGGGAGCUUGCUCCUGCUGGAUUAGUGGCGAACGGGUGAGUAACACGUGAGUAACCUGCCCUUGACUCUGGGAUAAGCGUUGGAAACGACGUCUAAUACCGGAUACGACCUUCGGAGGCAUCUCCUGGGGGUGGAAAGAAUUUCGGUCAAGGAUGGACUCGCGGCCUAUCAGCUAGUUGGUGAGGUAAUGGCUCACCAAGGCGACGACGGGUAGCCGGCCUGAGAGGGUGAACGGCCACACUGGGACUGAGACACGGCCCAGACUCCUACGGGAGGCAGCAGUGGGGAAUAUUGAACAAUGGGCGCAAGCCUGAUGCAUCAGCGCCGCGUGAGGGACGACGGCCUUCGGGUUGUAAACCUCUUUUAGUAGGGAAGAAGCGAAAGUGACGGUACCUGCAGAAAAAGCACCGGCUAACUACGUGCCAGCCGCCGCCGUAAAAC